rnacentral:rRNA from 1 species
AGCAGCCGCGGUAAUUCCAGCUCCAAUAGCGUAUAUUAAAGUUGCUGCAGUUAAAAAGCUCGUAGUUGAAUUUCGGAAUCAAUAUGUCGGUCGUGUCUCGGUACGUACUGGCUUAUUGGUUUCUCCUUUCUGAAGAACCAUGAUGUCAUUUAUUUGGUGUCGUGGGAAAUCAGGACUGUUACUUUGAAAAAUUAGAGUGUUUAAAGCAGGCUCACGCUUGAAUACAUUAGCAUGGAAUAAUGAAAUAGGACGUUUGAUUCUAUUUUGUUGGUUUCUAGGAUCGACGUAAUGAUUAAUAGGGAUAGUUGGGGGCAUUAGUAUUCAAUUGUCAGAGGUGAAAUUCUUGGAUUUAUUGAAGGCUAACUACUGCGAAAGCAUUUGCCAAGGAUGUUUUCAUUAAUUAAGAACGAAAGUUAGGGGAUCGAAGACGAUCAGAUACCGUCGUAGUCU